rnacentral:rRNA from 1 species
AGCUCACUGGUCGAGCGAUCCUGCGCCGAAAAUGUAACGGGGCUAAAGCAUACUACCGAAGCUACGGGAUUAUCACUUAUGCACAGAUUUUAGCGAUUUAAUAUCGUUAGAAUUUGUGUAUUAAGUGAUAAUCGGUAGAGGAGCGUUCCGUAUUAGGUCGAAGUCAAACUGAGAAGUUUGGUGGACGAAGCGGAAGUGAGAAUGUCGGCAUGAGUAACGAAAAGAAAGGUGAGAAUCCUUUCCGCCGUAAGUCUAAGGUUUCCUGGGGAAGGUUCGUCCGCCCAGGGUUAGUCGGUCCUAAGGUGAGGUCGAAAGGCGUAGUCGAUGGACAACAGGUUAAUAUUCCUGUACUACCUUUAAAUCGUUAUUAGCGAAGGGGUGACGCAGUAGGAUAGGUCAGCCACUUAUUGGAUUGUGGUUUAAGCUUGUAGGCUUGAGGGAUAGGCAAAUCCGUUCCUCUUUAAGGCUGAGAAGCGAUGACGAGCUGCUUGCAGCGAAGUGAUUGAGUCCACACUGACCAGAAAAACCUCUAGUGAGAUUUAAGGGUAACCGUACUAAAACCAACACAGGUAGACGGGUAGAGAAUACCAAGGCGCGCGGGAUAACUCUCGUUAAGGAACUCGGCAAAAUAGCCUCGUAACUUCGGGAUAAGAGGUGCCCAUUAUGGUGAAAGUCUUUCGACUGGAGCUUAAAUGGGUUGCAAUGAAAUGGCUCAAGCGACUGUUUACCAAAAACACAGGUCUCUGCUAAACCGUAAGGUGAUGUAUAGGGGCUGACGCCUGCCCAGUGCCGGAAGGUUAAUAGGAAGGGUUAGACUUCGGUCGAAGCUCCAAAUUGAAGCCCCGGUGAACGGCGGCCGUAACUAUAACGGUCCUAAGGUAGCGAAAUUCCUUGUCGGGUAAGUUCCGACCCGCACGAAAGGCGUAACGAAUUGAGCGCUGUCUCAACGAGAGACCCGGUGAAAUUGAAUCAUCCGUGAAGAUGCGGAUUACCUGCAGCAAGACAGAAAGACCCCGUGGAGCUUUACUGUAACUUGGCUUUGUUUUUUGGAAUAAUUUGUGCAGUAUAGGUGGGAGACUUUGAAGUAAGGGCGUUAGUCCUUAUGGAGUCACCAGUGAGAUACCACCCUCAUUAUUUUAGAAAACUAACUAAGCACCGUUAUCCGGUGAUAGGACAGAGCCUGGUGGGCAGUUUGACUGGGGCGGUCGCCUCCUAAAGAGUAACGGAGGCGCUCAAAGGUUCCCUCAAGAUGGUUGGAAAUCAUCUGUAGAGCGUAAGGGUAUAAGGGAGCUUGACUGCGAGACCUACAAGUCGAGCAGGGACGAAAGUCGGACCUAGUGAUCCGGUAUCUCCGUAUGGAAGGGAUAUCGCUCAACGGAUAAAAGUUACCCCGGGGAUAACAGGCUAAUCUCCCCCAAGAGUUCACAUCGACG